AGAGAGAGAUCCCAGGACAAAUGUGCAGCAGGCCCCUGAGCAUGUGUAGAAAUGUCAUCAGUUCCACAUGGAAAGACUUGGAGGAAAUCAAAGAAGACAGUAAAAGUCACAAGAUCCUAUCCAACCUUCCCUUCCCUGAAUGCCUGGGAAGAAUUCAGGGGCCUCUUUCCUGUGGAUCGAGGGCCGAACCCUGGAGUGGGCCUAGGUGUGGAGGAGGGACUGCUCUGCCAGGUGGUUCAUUCUCCAGAAUUCAACCUGUUUCCUAACUCCGUGGUGUUUGAAAGCAACUUCGUCCAGGUCAAAAGGGGCAGGAAUUGGAGAGACAUCUACAAAGCCUCCUACACCAUGGCCCUGGGGGUGACCUCCUCAGUGCCCUGCCUGCCCCUCCCCAACAUCCUACUCAUGGCCAGUGUCAAAUGGCACCAGGGGCAGAACCAGACAUGGACUAGACCAUCCACAGCCCCGAACAUCUUCCUGAAGAGGAUUCUCCCAUUGAAGUUUGUGGAGCUCCAGGUAUGUGACCACCAUCAACGCAUCCUGCAGUUGAGGACAGUCACCGAGAAGAUUUAUUACCUAAAGCUCCACCCUGACCAUCCUGAGACUGUCUUCCACUUCUGGAUCCGACUGGUUCAAAUUCUGCAAAAGGGGCUAUCCAUCACCACCAAAGAUCCUAGGAUUCUUGUCACUCAUUGCCUGGUACCCAAGAACUGCUGCAGCCCCUCAGGAGAUUCAAAGUUAGUACAGAAGAAACUCCAAGCCUCCCAGCCCAGCGAGAGUCUCAUUCAACUAAUGGCCAAGGGGGAGAGUGAAGCCCUCUCUCAAAUUUUUGCCGACUUACACCAACAGAACCAGUUGAGGAACCAGUUGGACCAGCAGUUCAGAGGCAGAACAAAUUCCCUUUCUGAGCACUGGUAAUAAACUGAAAACCAGUACAGCUCAGAGGAGGCAAGCACUUAUAGCAGCGAAGAGCUCACAUAGACGUGGGCCCAAGUCACUGCUCUGACUGCACCCUUGAGCAUAUCGAAACUUGGGGGCUCAGUUUUCAGAUCUGUAAUAUGGAAAUGAAAAUAGUGCCAACCUCCUCCAGAUGUCAGGAUCAAAUGAGCUCAUAUGCAUCAAGCACUUAGAAUGCUCCUCAGGAGAUUUAGAGGCAAAUUGAGCAGCAAAAAGGUGGAGACCAACAAGAACAGAUCAGGGAGAGAUUCUUCCCGUGAAGAUAGCAUCCCUUGCACCCGUGACCUACGUUGGAGAGCUUCAUUCACGUACGGAGAGUGGGAAAGAGAGAACCCCUCCGGCCUGCAGCCCCUGUCACUCCUCAGCACUCUGGCAGCCUCCACUGGGCCACAGCUGGCCCCACCAAUAGGAAAUUCUAUUUGAGCCAUCCUUCCACAAUGGGGAGAAUCUAUGCAAGCCUCAUCAAUACCACUUUGCAGCAUUCAGCUUCUGAGGGAUUAUCGGGAUGGAGAGGAGGAGAAAACUGCAACUAAGGAAAAAUAGUCACCUCACGGUGACAGCAGAGCCUUUCCAGCUGUACAUAACCACGUCCUCACCACUGCACCUUGGCAUACGCUACCUCCAUGCCGCUGCCAGAGCUGGCCUAGCAAGAUGUGCUCUCAGAAUGGCCAGGUCCAAGAGAUGGAGGAAAGGAGUGAAAGGGAAGUAGGACCAGAGAAGUGGAAGAAAGCAAAAUGGAGGUGAAAGGUGAAAGGUGGCGGGAGAAAGUCAAAGCAGAUGACAGACACAAAGAGAAGCAGUAACAAGAAACAGAAGAGACUUGGCAGAUGAGAUAAGGAGGACAAGAGAAGGGACACAUCCCUGAGAGAUGCUUACCAAGCUUCUAUUUAUCUAAUUUAAAACUUGAAAGUAAAGCCAUAAACAAAAAAAAAAAAAAAGAAAUAUGUUUUCUUCCCUGCUCAGACCAUUCUGGACAAAUGUGAACUGCCAGACACCUUCCAUCUCCCUUUCUGUCUGUUUUUCUUGCUAGUUCCUCUCUUCUGAUUAAAGCUUUAUUCCUUCA